GCGCCUUAGCCGGUUGAGCUACAGGCACCGAAGCCUACACCUCAUUUUCAAGUUCUAGAAGCUGGGUGUCUGAGAUCAAGAUGCCAGCAUGAUUGGGUACUGGUGAAAUCCCUCUUCCUGGUUGCAGACUGCUGACUUGUUAUAUUCUCAUGUGGAAAGAAGGGCCACUUGCCUGUCCAGGCUCUUCUCAUGGACUAACAUAAUCACCUCCUGACUGGUCAUCUGCUACUCGUCUUUGCUUCCCAUCAAAACCAUCUUCCACACAGCAAGGCCUUUCUAAACCCAAUUCUGCAAGAUUUCUACUUCUGGGAAGAUGGAGUAGACAUACUUUUCCAUAUUCCUCUCACUGAGUAUAAUUAAUAAACCUGGACAUUAUUUAUAAAACAGUCACAAGAAGACUGAAAGGUGGAGAGAAGGAGACACACUGGCUAAGGACCUCAGGACCUGAGCACUGACACAGGAAUGAAUUUUCUGGGUUUUCCUUUUGCCUCUUUUCUCUCAGAAGCCAGCAGUCUGGAAACACCAACAAGCACAGAUAAAAAAUGCCCCCCCAUGAAAGCCUGCUCCCUGUAAUCAAAGAACCAGGAAAGGAAGCAGCCUAUCAAGACAAAAUCUUAGACAAUAACAGCUCUAAAUAAGCCAGACACCAGAGAAUAAUCUGUGGCCCAGUCCCAUCUACUCCAUCAGAAGCUUCUGAUGAAAACACUGAACUGUGAUGUGGUUAACCAGGAGAGACACCAGGGUAGGAUUAUUUCACAGUCUGGGCACAUGGUCUUAGAAUUGUUUGGCACAUCUUGUCAGCAAAGUAUGAAACAGGAAUUACUUUCUUGUACUCUGGAAAAGAGCACCACCUAGUGAUAAAACAAAAGCAAAACCUCUAAAUGCUGUGCCUCUGCCCCUGAGGGUCAAAGUCAAGUCCAUGUGGGUUCUUAGAAGGGUCAUUACCCAGGCUCUGCUUGGGGCGGUGGUUGGGGGUGUACAAUCAGGAGAAGGGACUGAUGAAGCCCAGAUGGAAUGUGCCUGUCUAUUCCAGGUCAGAGCCAGGCUCUUUCCUGUAGGAGGGAAAAGUCAUUAUGAGACAUGUUAUCUAAUGUGGGACUCAGCAAAAUCCAAAAUUGCUGGGUCUCUGGAGAGUGAAAAGAAUAAGGGAUGAGGGAGAGGCAGAGAGAGAGAUGAGAAGUGAUGCUUCUUUGGUCCUCACAACCAGACAUCUAGGGAAGUGAGGGCUUUGAUUAGUCUCGUGUGGCAGAUGGGACAGCAGAGGCACAGAUAGGUUAGAUGGCAGCACAGGUUAAGAGAUAAAGCCUCAGCUCAGAUGAAGCUGAUUUGCAGAGUCUACUCUCAAAAAAACAGGCUUUCCAUUGGAACAUAUACAAAGGCAGAAACCUUUAGCAACAUAAUGGUACAACUACGGAGACUGUGACUUAAUGUGUAUUUAAUCUCAUCAGACUGUUACGAUAAAAGUAAGUAUCCCUACUUGGAAUAUCUUUAUUUUUUACCUAUAGACCCUUGAACUGACUAUUAAGUUUCCUUUUCAGUAGGAGAAACCUUAAACAUUGGGAAAGGGAAUUUUGUUCUUGUUCCCUAGGAAAUAAGAGAGAAAAGAAGACAUUUAAUAAACCAAACAAGCCAGUGAACUUGAGGACUGGUGCUGCCCCUGACAGAGGAACAGCCACAUGGCAGAAGGGCAUCUCUGGAGAGCAGGCUAGCCAAAGGAGGCUGUGAAGUGAUCAGGGCCACAGUCUUCCUCCCAAGCACACUAUACUACAGUGUGAGGCAAAUGUUCCCAGAGGUGCAGUCUCUGCACGGCUCAGCAGUGAGGGUGCACAGGAGGGGGACUGUAUGUGGCACCAGCUGGUUAUAUUCCCAUAGGACAGCAGGACCCCAGGUGGAAGCCUAGGAGACAGAGAUGAGAAUCAAGCUCCCAGAAGAGGGGACUACAAGGACUAAUAGGUGUUUGAGGGCCUCAAACAUUGAACAGAAGAAAUGAACAUAUUAUACAGGAUAAAUGCCAGCAGAUAAAUAUGCGUGUUCAUAGGAAUCUUACUAGAAAGCAUAGAAAAGAUAAUAUACAUUCAUUACAAAUUUAAGGAUAAACCAUGGCCUGGCUUUGACCUAGGUAUUUUUCCAAAAUCCAUUAAGAUUCAAGGCUUUAGCCUUGGCUUUUUGAAAGCCAGAGUCAAGUUCUCACUUUAAUGUCAUUUGGGCCAUCGCUGACCUUGUGCUGAAUGAAUGAUUAUAUACUAGCAUGAGUCACCAUCAUAUUCAA